ACUUUUAAUAUGUCCUUUAUUGUCCAAUUACAAUUGAGUCUAAUCUCACUGUGAGAUUCUCACAAAAUGCCAGUCAAAUCCUGAGUUAAUGUUAAUCUUGAUUUAAGAUAUCAUUAUUACAAUUUUGUGCUCUCUUGUUGUUAUUGUGAUUUUACCUUUUCUGGUAAACAUUUUCAUGUGAUAAAAACUAUUGUUUAUUGGUAAUUUUGUCUCACAGUUAAAACAAAGCUGAGGACAUGAAAAAAAGGAGCAAAGUAAUAGGUAAAAACGUAAACUGUCUGUAAAAAGAUGUAACCUUUGCUUGAGUUACUCCCUGGUAAAUAGAGACUACAUUUCAAGUCAUUGUUAUGUUUACUUAUCAUCAGAAAAAACAACAACAAAUGAGCAACUUUUACCAUCAUUAUAACCCAAAAUAAUCGUUUAUUUUUUUUCUUCUGUUUCCUCAAAUUUUCCUGCCUUUUUUCAUCUUCUCUCUUGUUCAGUUUCAUGAUUCCAUUCUCUCUCAACCUUCCCUUUUUAUAUCUCGACUAAUAUAAUGUUUUCUUGUCUAAGUGUAUGUGUGUGUGUGUCUGAGUUAAUAGAUAAAGUAAAUCACAAGUGAAUAAAUCAACGGAAAAUUUUGAUGCUGAUUACUCGAGUCUGGAGAAGCAAAAAAAACUGGUCAAUUUAAUUUGGAAACUUAACCCUUGGCUAUCCAAUUUUAACCAGUCAACUAUUUCAUCUCGACACUGGUCAGCUUAUUAAGAUGUCUUCACGUCUCCAAAUUGGUCAAAUAUUUGACAAAUGUAAUCAACUUUAUCAAUUUGAUGGUGAAAAUUUCAUCAACAAAAUGGUUUACCAAAAUGUAUAUUGCAUUUUGUCCUUUUGUUACACUUGGAUUUCUGGUUAAACUAUUCAAUGGUUGUAUACAUGUUGAUUAUGUUGACCAUGCUCAGACAAUGAUUAUUGAUUAUUGCUAGUCGUAACCUGAAACUAUUAACAAUUUAUACAUCACCAGAGAUUCUCACUCUAAUAAUAUUACUAAUUAACUCAAUUGAUGAUUUAUUGAUCUUCUUACAUAAUGUGAUUAUCGAUCCUUAACCGAUUAAUCGAUAAACCCUUUUCCCUUUCAUUACAGCUGUUUAAUCUAACACUUGUUAAUCUUUACCUGUUUCCCUACUCACAAGCAAAUUGACAAAUUCAAGACGUAAGAAUAAUUAUGGUUAAUUGGACAGCAAAGUGAAAGAUGUAACAUCAUUAACUGAUAUUGAUGGAUUCAUGGACGAAACAUUGGACCAUUAAUUGUUUUCAUGUCCAGUUACUAUUUUUGGAUGGUUUUGUGGAUAUUUUGAUGUCUGGUAAAUUCAAACUUACUUGAUUAGAAUCGAGUCCCCAAAAUUCAAGCUCCUCUUCAAACAAUGGUCCACACACGUCCGUUGGAUAAUGUAGUUUACCUGUUCGAUAAUAAUUAAGUAUUUGACCAAAAACUCCUGGAUGGCGAUCAAAAAAGUAUUCAUUUAGAACUGGGUCAUAGUUCGCUAAGGCAUCCGUUAAUCUGGAUAACCGGGUUGCAGGAAUUUUCUUUAAGGUUGCCUGAAAAAUGUGGAUAAAAUGAAACAAAGUCGUCAGUAUCAACACUCAAAGAGGAUACAAUUGUGAUUACUUUUAUCCAAUUUCCAGAAUUGAAUUCUAUUUUAUUUCCAUAAUUAUAAUCUAAAAUAAUCUCAUAUAUCAACUGGAAUCACUUUUGACUGAGAUUUGACACGAUAAAUGGCAUUAAAUUCAAUGGUAACAACAAUGUAACCUGCAAUGUUAUUACAUUGUACUUUCAACGUAUUCAUAUUUUCUCCUGGAUAAGAUCUUGUUUCCUUUUAUACUCUUAACGACUUUUAUUCACCUGUUUGUUUGUAAUCACACCAGCAAAGUCAAAGAAAUGAGACGGAAAUCAUCAUAAUUUGAAAUCUAUCAAGUGAUUCUCAACUUAUAACCAGAGUAAACAAUUAUACCAAUUUUCAAUCCCUUUAACCAGCUCUGAAGUCAACACUAAAGAUUUACAAAAAUGUUGCAAAUUUUACCAGAUCGAUACAAUUUUAUUGAUUGAUUUUUGGAAACUUGUUUCAUCUGAAUAGCUCAGUGAAAUAAAGUAUUGAAA